rnacentral:rRNA from 1 species
UACGGGGGGGGGCAAGCGUUGUUCGGAAUUACUGGGCGUAAAGGGUGCGUAGGCGGCUUUCUAAGUUGGAUGUGAAAACUCUGGGCUCAACCCAGAGCCUGCAUCCAAAACUGGAGAGCUAGGGUUCUGGAGGGGAAAGCGGAAUUCCUGGUGUAGCGGUGAAAUGCGUAGAUAUCAGGAGGAACACCGGUGGCGAAGGCGGCUUUCUGGACAGAUACCGACGCUGAGGAGCGAAAGGCGUGGGGAGCGAACAGG